rnacentral:rRNA from 1 species
AUGAACGCUAGCGGCGUGCCUAAUACCUGCAAGUCGAGCGAACAGACGAGGAGCUUGCUCCUCUGACGUUAGCGGCGAACGGGUGAGUAACACGUGGAUAACCUACCUAUAAGACUGGGAUAACUUCGGGAAACCGGAGCUAAUACCGGAUAAUAUAUUGAACCGCAUGGUUCAAUAGUGAAAGACGGUUUUGCUGUCACUUAUAGAUGGAUCCGCGCCGCAUUAGCUAGUUGGUAAGGUAACGGCUUACCAAGGCAACGAUGCGUAGCCGACCUGAGAGGGUGAUCGGCCACACUGGAACUGAGACACGGUCCAGACUCCUACGGGAGGCAGCAGUAGGGAAUCUUCCGCAAUGGGCGAAAGCUUGACGGAGCAACGCCGCGUGAGUGAUGAAGGUCUUCGGAUCGUAAAACUCUGUUAUUAGGGAAGAACAAAUGUGUAAGUAACUAUGCACGUCUUGACGGUACCUAAUCAGAAAGCCACGGCUAACUACGUG